AUCAUCAACACCAUAAAUACACAGGAAAUGCUCGGUGGCUCCUCCCCAAACAUUCCUAAAUGGUGGACCAAAUAAAAGGAACAACCAAAAGUGCCUAACGGUUAUGACAUCACAUUAAUCUGAGCGCUGACCCCAGCAAGAAAGACAUCUGAAAGACAAAGUGCUGCUAGGACGAAGACCUUAAAAUCAGACCACAAGAAAGGAGAAAAGCACCGUCUGUCUGCUGGCCACUCCUCUGUUCUGUUGGCUUACCUUGUGUGAUCUGUUCCCUGGCGGCGUCGAGGUGAUGGCUGGUGGAAAUCUCUCCGAUUACAAUCAGCAUGCGAUAGUUUCUGUGCUGGAACGCAGCUCCGGCGCGGCGCUGCUGUCCAUGAUGCUGAAAACACUCCUCCGAUUGUGCUCGCUCCACUGAGGCAGCUGCUGCGAUGGGGAUUUCCAUGGUAACGGUGCCACUGGUGGACGCUAAGCCCUUUUCCAUCUCCAUGACAACUGCAUCCGGAGCAAGCAUCAUGACAGUGCAGGAUGAGCUGGGAGGAUUAUUAGUGGGUGUGGCUCUUUGGACGGUGGACGUGUGAUUGGAUGGCAGGUUAUGUGGCUAUUUGACGUCACAGCAUAUCAUUGGACAAAAGGAAAAGAGGGACAUGAGAAUUUAUGUUGAUCAUAUUUCUUUUAUGACACUGCUGAAGCCUACUGUCACUGUAGCUGAAGAGCAGGAAGACAGUGGAGAUGACCAUAUCAUCUACCUCUGCUCAUGAUGUUAUAGCCAACCAUACCACACCAUCCUUUCUGCGUCCUUCAUAAACAAAACCUUAUAUCCCAUUGUUUUAUGUCACUGGUUUUACAUUAUAAGUCUGAGGUGCAGCACGCGAGCCAUUUUUGGCAGCACCUAAGUUGAUUGAAUGUGAAAUGCGGCACAAAUGUGCCCAAACCAGCGAAAAAAGCACCAAAAACAGCGAAAUAAAAA